rnacentral:rRNA from 1 species
AGCUCUCACCCUUUGUGACAUACCUACACUGUUGCUUCGGCGGGUAGGGUCCCCGUGACCCUCCCGGCCUCCCGCCCCCCCGGGCGGGUCGGCGCCCGCCGGAGGAUAACCAAACUCUGAUUUAACGACGUUUCUUCUGAGUGGUACAAGCAAAUAAUCAAAACUUUUAACAACGGAUCUCUUUUUCCUGCCAUCGAUGAAGAACGCAGCGAAAUGCGAUAAGUAAUGUGAAUUGCAGAAUUCAGUGAAUCAUCGAAUCUUUGAACGCACAUUGCGCCCGCCAGCAUUCUGGCGGGCAUGCCUGUUCGAGCGUCAUUUCAACCCUCAAGCUCUGCUUGGUGUUGGGGCCCUACAGCUGAUGUAGGCCCUCAAAGGUAGUGGCGGACCCUCCCGGAGCCUCCUUUGCGUACGACUGGACGUCUGGCACGGAGGGACGGAGGCACUCAAGCCAUCAAUCCUCGAAAGUUUGACCUCGGAUCAGGGAGGAAC